rnacentral:lncRNA from 1 species
GAGGAGGGAAGAGCAGCCCGGAGAUCGACCAUCAAUUGGGAUCAUCAACUCCAUCUCUGGAGGACCUUGAUGGGGAGCAGACCUUCUACAGCCCUGAGAUUUGAAAAACCUGUAAAUGUAUUGCGAACGACUUCACUUUAAAUCAAGAUUCCUUUCGGACUUGCACAUCUUCCCCUUUUGGCAUGGACUUGUAAUGACAGGGGAUAACCCCUUCAGACAACGAAAAUGACACCUAAUAUGGGCAAAGUCGAAAGUCCGAUUAUUUUUAGACCGGAUGGGGGGAGAGGCCCUACAACGUCCUUAUGUGCCCCCACAGUCAUGUUAGGGACAGGAGGAGAACCUCGCCCUAACAUGAGCAAGGCUGAAGGCCUGAUUAUUUUUAGACCAAAUGGGGGGAGAGGUCCUAUAAUGCCCUUAUGUGCCCCCACAGCCAUGUUAGGGAUAGGAGGAGAACCUCACCCUAACAUGAGCAAGGCCGAAGGCCCGGUUAUCUUUAGAUCGGAUGGGGGGAGAGGCCCUACAACGCCCUUAUGUGCCCUCCACAGUCCUGUUAGGGAUAGGAGGAGAACCUCGCCCUAACAUGAGCAAAGUCGAAGGCCCGAUUGCUCUUAAGACCGGAUGGGGGGAGAGGCCCUACAACGCCCUUAUGUGCCCCCACAGCCCUGUUAGGGACAGGAGGAGAACCUCACCCUAACAUUAGCAAAGUAGAAGGCCCGGUUGCUCUUAAGAUCGGAUGGGGAGAGAGGCCCUACAACGCCCUUAUGUUCCCCCAC